UACGGGGGGGGCAAGCGUUGUUCGGAAUUACUGGGCGUAAAGGGCUCGUAGGCGGCCAACUAAGUCGGAUGUGAAAUCCCCAGGCUUAACCUGGGAACUGCGUCUGAUACUGGAUGGCUUGAGUUCGGGAGAGGGAUGCGGAAUUCCAGGUGUAGCGGUGAAAUGCGUAGAUAUCUGGAGGAACACCGGUGGCGAAGGCGGCAUCCUGGACCGACACUGACACUGAGACGCGAAAGCGUGGGGAGCGAACAGG
rnacentral:rRNA from 1 species